rnacentral:rRNA from 1 species
GACUAACGCUGGCGGCGUGCUUAACACAUGCAAGUCGAACGGAAAGGCCCUGCUUUUGUGGGGUGCUCGAGUGGCGAACGGGUGAGUAACACGUGAGUAACCUGCCCUUGACUUUGGGAUAACUUCAGGAAACUGGGGCUAAUACCGGAUAGGAGCUCCUGCUGCAUGGUGGGGGUUGGAAAGUUUCGGCGGUUGGGGAUGGACUCGCGGCUUAUCAGCUUGUUGGUGGGGUAGUGGCUUACCAAGGCUUUGACGGGUAGCCGGCCUGAGAGGGUGACCGGCCACAUUGGGACUGAGAUACGGCCCAGACUCCUACGGGAGGCAGCAGUGGGGAAUAUUGCACAAUGGGCGGAAGCCUGAUGCAGCAACGCCGCGUGCGGGAUGACGGCCUUCGGGUUGUAAACCGCUUUCGCCUGCGACGAAGCGUGAGUGACGGUAAUGGGUAAAGAAGCACCGGCUAACUACG